GGGAAUAUUGCGCAAUGGAGGAAACUCUGACGCAGUGACGCCGCGUAUAGGAAGAAGGUUUUCGGAUUGUAAACUAUUGUCAUUAGGGAAGAUAAAAGACUGUACCUAAGGAGGAAGCCCCGGCUAACUAUGUGCCAGAAGCCGCGGUAAUACAUAGGGGGCAAGCGUUAUCCGGAAUUAUUGGGUGGAAAGGGUGCGUAGACGGAAGAACAAGUUGGUUGUGAAAUCCCUCGGCUCAACUGAGGAACUGCAACCAAAACUAUUCUCCUUGAGUGUCGGAGAGGAAAGUGGAAUUCCUAGUGUAGCGGUGAAAUGCGUAGAUAUUAGGAGGAACACCAGUGGCGAAGGCGACUUUCUGGACGAUAACUGACGUUGAGGCACGAAAGUGUGGGGAGCAAACAGG
rnacentral:rRNA from 1 species